rnacentral:rRNA from 1 species
AACGUAGGAGACAAACGUUAUCCGGAGUUACUGGGCGUAAAGGGCGUGUAGGUGGUUUUGUAAGUCUGGCGUGAAAUUUUUCGGCUUAACCGGGAAAGGUCGUCGGAUACUGCAGAACUAGAGGACGGUAGAGGCGUGUGGAAUUCCGGGUGUAGUGGUGAAAUGCGUAGAGAUCCGGAGGAACACCAGUGGCGAAGGCGACACGCUGGGCCGUACCUGACACUGAUGCGCGACAGCAUGGGGGAGCAAACAGG